GGAUGGGAUCUCAGUCCUCAUAUGGGUCGUACUCGAGAUCAUCCUAAUCCUCCUCCGAUUCUUCUUCACUAAGCUCGUUUCCUUCAAGCUCUUCAUCUUUUUCUAGCUCAUCGUCCUCUUCUGGUUCCUCCUCCUCAGGCUCAUCUACGGGUCUAAAAUGGUUAUACAAUAGCCAUUGAGACCACGUCUCAACAAGUUCUACCCCCUAAGACCCGAUUGGUAAACCAAUACGCUAACCAGGCCGCCUAUGCACGCACGGGUCAGAGGGCUUACCUUGGCCUCAAAUUCCACCUACAUAUUAGCACAGUUCAAUAGGCACCCAAGCAAUCACAUCAUAGAUCGAUAUUUCGAUCAAUCAACCUAGUCGAUUACAUGUAAACAUGACCUUUCCCGAGUCAUUUCAAUUCAAUCAAUCAAUUUACAACAUCAUAUCCAAGCAAUGAUCAAUCGACCUAGUCGAUUACAUAUCAACAAGACCACUUCCGAUCAUUUCAAUUAUUCCAACUCAAUUCCCAAUUACGAAUCACGGUUCCACUCGGCAACUUCCAAUAUUUAAUGGCUUUACGGUCCCACUCGACAACUUUCAAUAUUUAGUGGCUUUACAGUCCCACUCGACACUUUCCAUAUUUAGUGACUUUACAGUCCCACUCGACACUGCUAUUUCUUAUUUCGAUGGUAAUGCUGAAUCACGGCCCAGCAGGCACGGCCAUACUUCGGCAGUUUAACUAACUUAACCUACAACAUCCCGCGACCAUUCAACCGCGGCCAACAAUAUUGCAUUUCGUAAUUAAAUUCCUCAAUUUCAUAAUAUCUUCGCCUAAUUUCUUAGUAUCAAAGACACCUGAUAAAAUAUCGUGUGUGGGUACACGAUCAGCCUUAGCCAAAAUAUAAUAAUUCCUUUCUAUAAAUCCCACCAUUUUCUGUAGUCCACCAAAACAUUUUUGGCACUGUCAACCAAUGCCCGAUUAUUUUUCAAUUAAUAACCAAAGAUUACUUAAUUUUGGAAUAAAUCCUAAAAUCAUUCAUAAAUUAAUUUAGACUCAAAUAAAGCUCAAAUAAAUAAACAAACUACACCAUGAUCAUCAGCAUAAAAUUUCAAUCAUAGGCCAUCCCAGUUGAAUUUCCAGAAAAAUAAUUAAUUUCCAAAAUUAAAUAAAUAAAUAUUAAAAAUCAAAUUUAGGCCUGUAAUGCCUGAUUGGA
rnacentral:lncRNA from 1 species